CCAUUGUUGAGAUGACGGGAAGUGGAAGAAAGAUGGCGUCAGGCGCUUCGCCGAGUGGAGGCCUCACGCCAUCCAUCGGCUUUGUUAGCGCGAUAAAUCUUUCAGGAGACAAAAGAGCGGCGAGCAUCAGGGUGCAUACGGCGGGUAUCAAACACUGCGCCGCAGCAUCAAAGCUACAGCGUAGCGCAAACUCCGCCUCCAGGAAGUGAAACUGCCAAAAGACGCCGACGUUGUUGAACGUGUGUAAUGCGUCUCUGCGCCGGACGGAAAAAACAAGCCUCUCGCCCGGAACGUUCUUCACGGCCGACUGACGACAAACUGACUCUGUCAGCUUCACGCAAUUAAAAAGACAAACUCCGGGAUUGGAUGAGGAGGCGAGCGAGUACAUGCUAACUAGCGAGCCGCGAGAUGACACCUGUGACGGUGCGUUCAAUAGGCCUUAUGUUGAUGUCUUGAGGAAACAAUAUGGCCGACUCACCGUGACAGGUGUUAGGAUGGAGAAGAGCGGCGUUCUCUACGUCCUGUUCAAAGGCGCCUCUGAGUGGACACACAAAACACAAACGUCAGCUA